rnacentral:rRNA from 1 species
AUUGAACGCUGGCGGCAGGCCUAACACAUGCAAGUCGCACGAGUGGCGGACGGGUGAGUAAUGUCUGGGAAACUGCCCGAUGGAGGGGGAUAACUACUGGACACGGUAGCUAAUACCGCAUACCAUCGGAUGUGCACAGAUGGGAUUAGCUAGUAGGUGGGGUAAUGGCUCACCUAGGCGACGAUACCUAGCUGGUCUGAGAGGAUGACCAGCCACACAUGAACUGCGACCCGUUCAAGACUCCUACGGGAGGCAGCAGUGGGGAAUAAUGCACAAUGGGCGCAAGCCUGAUGCAGCCAUGCCGCGUGUAUGAAGAAGGCCUUCGGGUUGUAAAGUACUUUCAGCGAGGAGGCGUUACUCGCAGAAGAAGCACCGGCUAACUCCGUGCCAGAAGCCGCGGUAAUAC